rnacentral:rRNA from 1 species
ACGGGGGGGGCAAGCGUUGUCCGGAAUUAUUGGGCGUAAAGGGCGCGUAGGUGGGACAGCAAGUCUGGGGUGCAAUCUUACGGCUUAACUGUAAGCUUGCCCGGGAUACUACUGUUCUUGAGUUCGGGAGAGGGUAGUGGAAUUCCUAGUGUAGGGGUGAAAUGCGUUGAUAUCAGGAAGACCACCGGUGGCGAAGGCGGCUAACUGGAACGAUCCUGACGGUGAGGCGCGAAAGCCAGGGGCGCAAACAG